GAUGAACGCUGGCGGCGUGCCUAAUACAUGCAAGUCGAGCGAACAGACGAGGAGCUUGCUCCUCUGACGUUAGCGGCGGACGGGUGAGUAACACGUGGAUAACCUACCUAUUAUACUGGGAUAACUUCGGGAAACCGGAGCUAAUACCGGAUAAUAUAUUGAACCGCAUGGUUCAAUAGUGAAAGACGGUUUUGCUGUCACUUAUAGCUGGAUCCGCUCCGCAUUAGCUAGUUGGUAAGGUAACGGCUUACCAAGGCGACGAUGCGUAGCCGACCUGAGAGGGUGAUCGGCCACACUGGAACUGAGACACGGUCCAGACUCCUACGGGAGGCAGCAGUAGGGAAUCUUCCGCAAUGGGCGAAAGCCUGACGGAGCAACGCCGCGUGAGUGAUGAAGGUCUUCGGAUCGUAAAACUCUGUUAUUAGGGAAGAACAAAUGUGUAAGUAACUAUGCACGUCUUGACGGUACCUAAUCAGAAAGCCACGGCUAACUACGUG
rnacentral:rRNA from 1 species